AUAUUGGCAGGGGAGAUACCAUGAUCACGAAGGUGGUUUCCUCAGGGCAAGGCUUAUCCAUUGCACUCUGGAUUUGCUGACCCCUAUAAUUUCCCCAAAUGUGCGAUACCUAACUGCAUAAUUUGUGGUAGUGGGGGACUGCAUUCAUGCUCUGCCCUG